rnacentral:rRNA from 1 species
AACGCGAAGAACCUUACCUGGGCUCGAAAUAUAGAGGACGACAACAGAGAUGUUGUCUCCCGCAAGGGCUUUUAUAUAGGUGCUGCAUGGCUGUCGUCAGCUCGUGCCGUGAGGUGUUUGGUUAAGUCCAGCAACGAGCGCAACCCUUAUCGUUAGUUGCCAACAUGUAAAGGUGGGAACUCUAACGAGACUGCCUGGGUUAACCAGGAGGAAGGUGAGGAUGACGUCAAGUCCGCAUGGCCUUUAUGUCCAGGGCUACACACGUGCUACAAUGGUCGGUACAGAAGGCUGCGAAACCGUAAGGCGAAGCAAAUCCUCUAAAACCGAUCUCAGUUCAGAUUGUAGUCUGCAACUCGGCUACAUGAAGUUGGAAUUGCUAGUAAUGGCGUGUCAGCAACAACGCCGUGAAUACGUUCCCGGGCCUUGUACACACCGGCUAC